AUCUAAACAGCCCUCCUAUAGCAGCUCCCCACUGCAGGUGGCCAGACAGGAGUUUUAGACCAGUGUUGUCUCACGGAACAUUGACACAGCAGCCAAGUUGAUUGGUGCUGGGGCAGCCACAGUAAGUGUGGCUGGUUCAGGGGUUGGCAUUGGAACAGUGUUUGGUAGCUUGAUCAUUGGCUAUGCCAGAAACCCGUCUCUCAAGCAGCAGUUCUUCUCCUGUGUCAUUCUGGGCUUUGCCUGGGGACUUGGGGCUCUUCGGUUUGAUGGCUGCCUUCCUCAUCCUCUUUGCCC
rnacentral:lncRNA from 1 species